GCAACAGCUCAAAUUUGAAAUCUGGCCUCGGCCCGAGUUGUAAUUUGCAGAGGAUGCUUUUGGUGCGGUGCCUUCCGAGUUCCCUGGAACGGGACGCCACAGAGGGUGAGAGCCCCGUAUGGUCGGACACCAAUCCUGUGUAAAGCUCCUUCGACGAGUCGAGUAGUUUGGGAAUGCUGCUCUAAAUGGGAGGUAAAUCUCUUCUAAAGCUAAAUACCGGCCAGAGACCGAUAGCGCACAAGUAGAGUGAUCGAAAGAUGAAAAGCACCUUGAAAAGGGGGUUAAACAGUACGUGAAAUUGUUGAAAGGGAAGCACUUGUGACCAGACUUGGGCCGGGCGGCUCAUCAGGGGUUCUCCCCUGUGCAUUCCGCCCGGUACAGGCCAGCAUCGGUUCUUACCGGGGGAUAAGAACGGCAGGAACGUGGCUCCCCCUCGGGGGAGUGUUAUAGCCUGCCGUACGAUACCCUGGCGGGGACCGAGGUUCGCGCUUCCGCAAGGAUGCUGGCGUAAUGGUUACUAGUGACCCGUCUUGAAACACGGACCAAGGAGUCGUCCAUUAGAGCGAGCGUUUGGGUGUAAAACCCGCACGCGUAAUGAAAGUGAAAUUAGGUGAGAGCUUCGGCGCAUCAUCGACCGAUCCUGAUGUUCUCGGAUGGAUUUGAGUAAGAGUUUUAACGGACGGACCCGAAAGACAGUGAACUAUGCUUGUAUAGGGUGAAGCCAGAGGAAACU
rnacentral:rRNA from 1 species